UACAGAGGUGCCGAGCGUUAGGCGGAAUCACUGGGCUUAAAGCGUGUGUAGGCGGGCGGGCAAGUACCUUGUGAAAUCCCACGGCUCAACCGUGGAACGGCUGGGUAUACUGCCUGUCUUGAGCCAGCUAGGGGCGAGCGGAACAGACCGGUGGGAGCGGUGGAAAAUGCGUAGAUAUCGUCUGGAACGCCGAAGGUGAAAACAGCUCGCUGGGGCUGAUGCUGACGCUGAGACACGAAGCCAGGGGAGCGAACGGG
rnacentral:rRNA from 1 species